rnacentral:sRNA from 1 species
CAGAUCUGACCAUCUUGCUGGUGUUCUG